rnacentral:rRNA from 1 species
UAGGGAAUCUUCGGCAAUGGACGGAAAGUCUGACCGAGCAACGCCGCGUGAGUGAAGAAGGUUUUCGGAUCGUAAAACUCUGUUGGUAGAGAAGAACGUUGGUGAGAGUGGAAAGCUCAUCAAGUGACGGUAACUACCCAGAAAGGGACGGCUAACUACGUGCUAG